UCUGAUGGAGCAUGCCGCGUGAGUGAAGAAGGUUUUCGGAUCGUAAAACUCUGUUGUUGAAGAAGAAUAUAUGUGAGAGUAACUGUUCACGUACUGACGGUAUUCAACCAGAAAGCCACGGCUAACUACGUGCCAGCAGCCGCGGUAAUACGUAGGUGGCAAGCGUUGUCCGGAUUUAUUGGGCGUAAAGAGAAUGUAGGCGGUUUAUUAAGUUUGAAGUGAAAGCCCUCGGCUCAACCGAGGAAGUGCUUCGAAAACUGGUAAACUUGAGUGCAGAAGAGGAAAGUGGAACUCCAUGUGUAGCGGUGGAAUGCGUAGAUAUAUGGAAGAACACCAGUGGCGAAGGCGGCUUUCUGGUCUGUAACUGACGCUGAGAUUCGAAAGCAUGGGUAGCAAACAGGAUUAGAUACCCUGGUAGUCCAUGCCGUAAACGAUGAGUGCUAAGUGUUGGAGGGUUUCCGCCCUUCAGUGCUGCAGCUAACGCAUUAAGCACUCCGCCUGGGGAGUACGAUCGCAAGAUUGAAACUCAAAGGAAUUGACGGGGGCCCGCACAAGCGGUGGAGCAUGUGGUUUAAUUCGAAGCAACGCGAAGAACCUUACCAGGUCUUGACAUACCAUGAAAAGCUUAGAGAUAAGUCUUUCCCUUCGGGGACAUGGAUACAGGUGGUGCAUGGUUGUCGUCAGCUCGUGUCGUGAGAUGUUGGGUUAAGUCCCGCAACGAGCGCAACCCUUAUUAUCAGUUGCCAGCAUUCAGUUGGGCACUCUGGUGAGACUGCCGGUGAUAAACCGGGAGGAAGGUGGGGACGACGUCAAAUCAUCAUGCCCCUUAUGACCUGGGCUACACACGUGCUACAAUGGUCGGUACAACGUGCUGCGAACUCGCGAGGGGCAAGCAAAUCACUUAAAACCGAUCUCAGUUCGGAUUGUAGGC
rnacentral:rRNA from 2 species